CCCGGAGGAAUUCUUUGAUAUUGCACGUAUUGGAACUCUUUGACUCAUCUCAAGAACCACACCCGUUCUUCCCGGAGGAAAAGAAUCAGUUUUCUUCCCGGAGAUUAUAUUUUGGAUGCAAAAUUUGAUGUUUUUGUGAUAUUGCUACCCAAAACAAGAAGUGAUAUUAGCAAUUCUUUCUCCUCCACCUACUCCCUGUCGCCUUCAGUGCCAUCCGGAGAUUCGUGAAAAGGAUUGGGACUACAAAGUCGAAUCUCUUCCACUCUAUACAAGAGCAGGAGAUGGAAAUCAAAGCGUUGGAAGAAAAUACUUGCGGAUGACUUCAAAGAAAUACAUUCGGGCGAGAGCGGGUUAAAUACUUCCAAGAGGUGUUUUCAAAUAAAAGUUAUCUCCAGUGGUAGGUGUCUCCUUCUCUUGCUGUUUGCAUUCUACUGGCAUAAUUGUUACAAUAGCAUAAUGUCAGGUCGAGAAAGAGUCUUACUCGGUACAACAUUUCAACUCUCAAUCUUAAUCUUUUAUACUCAAUUCUCAACCUCAUUCGUUUUGGUCAUGUCAAGCUUAAAUAGGGAUUACAAACAUGGACUAUUAAUCAGUAGUGGGUAUAUAUGCGUUUCGUUUAGUGGUUUGCAUUACUAAUAUCAAUUUCCUGUCUACAUUCUGCUCAUUUCUUUUUGGUUAAAUAGGCUUUGGUGCAUUGAAUUAGUGGAGCAUUUAAACAGAGAUACAAACAGAAUUACUGCAUUACUAAGGUACUUCCUUCAUUUCAUUAUUAAUUUGUUAGAUGGUAGACAAUCGCACAACAUGUUUAAUAUUUACUUUGAAUGCCGUUAAAGGCAUCACCUUUUUAUGCCUACUUUAGAACAAAACUCUAAUUAAUCUUCACAUGAGAUAAGACUUUACAUUUUUCAUACUUGAGUGAUUUCAACACCAUUGUGAUCAAUAUUAAGCAUGUACGUGCUUUUGCUUUCCAAACGGUUGGAGAAGAGUGUUUUAGAUUAUGUCAUGGAAACUUCAGGUGGAGUUAUUUUAUUUUUUUAUUUUUUAUUUUUCUAUUUUCACGGUAAGUAGAAUUUAAAAGGAAGGUCAUGCCCAAAGACUUACGUACGAAGGCAAAACACCAAAAACGCAGACGGGAAACCAUAGAAAUGGUACAACAAAAAUAAUAGCAAAAGGUGACUGCAUGAAGGGUAAGUGACUUGAAGUAAAACUUCAGUCUUGACCCCAUUUCUAAAAACCAAGCCCCAUAGAAAGAUAGGAUAGGGUUAACAGUGCAAAAGCAAGUAUCGUCGACUUCGGAUUUGAAAUCAACAGACGAAUAUGGUAUACACAAGGUUGAUGUGGAGUGAAUGUAGAGUGUGUAGAGUAACUCAUGGACAUUUUUGUUAGAAUACAAAAAAAAUAAAAAAACAUUUAUUAAUAGAAAAAGAAAAAGAAACAGAUAACUCCUCCUUCAUUUUAGGAGAGAGGACAACCAACGUGGGGAGCAAAAAUUAUCAGGAUUAGCACGUUUAGUUUUCAAACUACAUAGCAGUUUCCAUACAGUCUCACACAACCUUUUUUCAUAACUUCUCCGUUGCAUUUGUUCAGUUACAAAAUUACG